GGAUCAUCGUACAGGAAUCAGCAGACCACCGAUACACCAAGAAGGGGUUCUCCUGCAACCGCCCCCAGUAUCCUCCAUUUCUUUCAAAACCAUCUUAUAAAUUCCUCCUACUCCUCUUUUUCUCCUCACAUUACAGACAAACAAGCAAAGCUCUUUUCCUUUUCUUUAUUCACUCCUCUUUUAUUCUCUCUUGGUCUUCUUCCUUCUCAUCGUCAAACUAGAAAAAACAGUAACCAAAACGAUUUAAUCUUCUUGUCUAUGGAUACCAAGAUUGGAUCUAUUGACACAUGCAAGCCCGCCAACGGCGACAUGUGCAGCCCAGCAAACG
rnacentral:misc_RNA from 1 species